UGUUGCCCCAAGUAAGGUGCUCGGCAGGAGCCUCAGGGCUCGAGCCUCCCAGGCUGAGUGUCUCCCACCCAGGAUGGGAUCCCCUUGGCCAUCGCACCAAAACUGGCUGGGAACUUCUACGCUCUCUCCUUCCCUAUAUCGGAGAUGGGCGCCCACAGUAGCACAUGAAGUCUCUGACAAGUCCCGCAGGACAGAACCCUACCCGACUUUGCUUCGUGCAGCCUUUCCCACAAUGUAUUUAGCCACCGAUUUCCACUUUUCCCGUGAGAUAUGUAUUAGCGUGUGGGGCAGGUUAAACACGGCCACAAAUUCUUUGCACUCCCAUCACGGAGAGGUGGGUGGGGCCUAUUCUCCCCGCCCUUCUCUCUGGCUGGGCCCCGGAACUGUUUUCGCCAAUAGAGGCCGGCCAAGGCCAAAGCGAUGCUGGAAGCAGUGCCUUAACUGGCCCGGCAGCUUCACCUCCCGCCUCUCAGAGCCUUGAGCUUUGACAUGAGAAAUCCGUCUAGGCCGCCGGGAAGGGCAUAGGAGACGGCAAGAUGAGGCCACCUUGGGCCCCCGGCGCAGUGGAGCCUUCCGAUGAUUCCAGCCCCAGCUGCCCUCCGACUGCAGCCGCAGGAGACACCCCCAAGCAAGAACCUCCCCGCUGAGCCCCGCCAACCCCAGCAUCACGAGACUAGGAAGCUACCGUUCCAAGCCAGCGUGUCCACAGGCGGUUCGCCACACAGCAGGGGACAACUGGAGGAGUGUCCUGUCGAGCCACUCCGCGGGGACAGGGGCGUCCUGUCCACCCUCACCACACGCCACCCCACAGCCAGACCUUCAGGCCGAACCGCAUUCAGACGCUCUCCUCCUUCACCCUGUCCUGGCUCAGGGUGGGCCCUCCACCUGGAAUGUCCUCGGCCUCCUUUGCCACUUGGAAAGACCCUUCUGGACUCAGCUCCUAAGAGGCCUCCGCUUUGUAGACCUUUCUAGUAACGGUCAAGGCGGUUGCGCUGUCCCAACGUUGGGAUCUGCCUGGGCUCACGCUUGCCAGCGGUUAUGAACUCAGAUGGGCGCCUGCCUCUCUGGGCCCCAGCUUCUCACAUGCAAACUGGGGGGAUUAAUGCUAACAGCUGCCAUGAGGCCGUUGUGCAGAGAAAGCCAGGAACGGGGGUAAUGCCCGUGGCCCGGGCUGUGAAUGGUGGCCGAGACGAGCGAUUAUCUGCUCCAUACCUCCGCUGGCUCAGGGCCUAGCGCUGGGGGCGGGUCAUUGCACUCUGGUUCCCCUGAGGCCAGGCCCUCAACCCCCGGCAGAGUGGGUCCCCCGCAGCCCACGACUCACUGCCCCCACUGCACCCCAGCACACACAGCCUUUGUCAAGUCACUGGUGCCCAAGAGGGGUUUGGUGGAGAAGGAAAGAUUCAGAGAAUCCUCCGCUAGUCUAGUUGGAAGGAUCUUCUUAUUUUUACUGAGGCCCAGAGAGGUAGAGGGCCUUGGCCGAGGUCACACAGCUCACUCACUCUGGAACUGGAUCCUAGGCCUCGGCUCCCUACCCUGCCCCUCGUCUGACACGGGGGCGGGGGGGUGGGGGCUCUGAGUCUCAGGGACACGUCCUCUCUGACUCCUCUGAAAUCUCUCGCGCCCUCCCUGCACCCAGAGCCACCUGAGAUGAAGUUACUCCACCGCCUGACGUCCGGCUCCUCCGUGGGCCCCACUCACCGUGGAGGGCACAGCCUGACCGGGGGUCCUCCCCGCCUGGCUCUUUUCUCCCUUCUUCCCUCUAGACGCAGUCAGCCAGCCAGCUCGGGGCACCUGUAGCGUGCCAGAGAUACUAGCUGUCCCGCACCCGCAGAGGCUUUGGGGGAAACCCAAACCGGCAUUAGGGGAAAGAUGGCAGGACGUGUUCAAAUGGCUCAGCCUGCAAGUGUAAACGUGACCAGCAUGGAGGGCCAGCGCUCGGGCAGGUGCGGCUUAGCCCUCCCAUGGUCCAAUCGGGAGGCCUCAGGCUGGCGAGGUGUGUGGAGCCCGGGUCCCAGAAACUUGGCUCAAAGCCCAGCCUCUCCUCUUGGUAGAGCCAGGGGAUCCUGGGUGUGUUAUGUCUCCCAGCCUCACCUUCCCCACCUGUAAGAUGGGAGCGCGAACACUUCUGCCAAGGACGAGCCCUGGCAUGGAGAACCCUGGGCCCCACUGGGCGUCCAGACCAACUCCCUUCCUUCAACACCUGACCGCCACUCACCACCACAUUUCCACCCUUCCUUCCGGUCAGUUCCUGGUUGCAGGGAGCCCGAGUGUGUGUUGAGAGACCCUUCCCGCCGGUGACCCUGAGGACGCUGCCUGAGGUUUCCUCCAUUAUUAACGAACGUGCUUUCCUCUCCCCAGCUCUCUGGAGCUUAUGCGUCAGGCUCAGAAAUAGCUCGCGGGGAAGGGCUGGCAUCCCAUUCCCGGGUCUGGGCAACCGUGCCAUCCGUCUGGCCCCUCCGGGUCUCAGUUUCCCCACAGUUGGAGGCGAGGGGCGGGCAAGGAGGAGAGGUAAAGGGAGCAGGUGACGCAUCACAGGCCCAAGACCGGUUCUGGGUCAGACGCGAGUCCCGGAACUAUCAAGGGCGGGAGCACCUCCAGUCCAGGCCCCGGCUCACAGAAAAGCAUGCCCACGGAAGGAAAUUUUGUUGAGCUUGUUAAAUGGCCAGUGACCUCCCCCCGGGCCUCCCGCAGGUGCCUGCCAGGCGCUCCCCUCUCAGGGCCCUUCUUUUCCAUCUGAAUUGAAGGGAUGGACGGGGUGACAGGGACCGGCAGAGGAGGGGGUGGGCAGGUGCUGUUGGAGCCCCAGUGCACACAGGGGAGGCUGGCGAGGUGGGCAGGGACUGACUUGCUCAGGGACUCACUGCUAGGAAGCGGCCCGGGUCGAGGGGGAUUAGAACUCCGCUCUCAUUCCACACCCUCAGCUCUUACCUUGGGCUCUGUGGGCCUGAUUACCCCACCGAUUGAUUAACUGAUUGGUUAGCUGAUUGACCGCAUCCCCGCCAGCCUCCCGGGAAGCCCCCUUCCUCCCCCAUCCAGCCCGGCCACCACGGGGUCUCCGAAAUCCCACCGCAGGUGCCCCCCAAACCUCAGCCGGGCAGGGGGCGUGGCGGGGGCGUGUCCAGGGCGUGGCUCCCGCCGUUCCCCGCCCCCGCCCGGCCCGAGCGGGCCUGUUAAUCCGUCGCGGCUCCGCCAAUCGGCGGCCGGUUGCCGGGGAAACGACCUCUCCCCUCGGAGCCUUCAAAGGGAUCCCCCCCCCCCCAUAAAGGCUCCAGCGGACCCCGAGGCCUCCUGCCCUGGGAGGGGCGGGCGGGGGCUGGGGUCCCGGAGUGGGGGAGACACCUACGCGCCCAGAGACAGUGAGAAGACAGAGACACAGAGAGAGACAGACCCGGGCAGCAGAGAGAAGGGAGGUGGAGAAAGGAGAGACGCCCCCACCCCCGCCCCAGAGGCCGAGAGGGCGAGACUGGGAGAGGCUGUCACAGCCACGCGCAGAGACGGGGAGGGAGAGAGAGAGAUCGAGGGGGAGACGUGGGGGAGGUGGAGCCCCCCCCCCCCAAAGAAAAGACCAGAGCCAGCAAGGGGGAGAGCGCCGGGAGGGGGCGAACUUGUGAAAAUAAAUAUUUAUAAAUUGAGA